AGCUCCCCCCCAGGCCAGGAGCUGCUGCAAGGGGCAGGAGGCUGCGAGGGGCACAAUGCCCACACCAGAGGCGUGAAGGCGUCUGACGCGCUGACUGGCCGCCGUGGGGGGGGCGCUAAGGGCAACGCGGGUGGGACCUGCAGAAGCGGAAGGCGCCGCGCCUCCCCAGAACGGCCCUUUCUGCAUCAAGAAAAGGCGCCCUCCGUCCGUGCCGGGGUGAGCCCCACGUGAAAGAACCGUCGUGCGCGGGGGGGCUGGGUCCCCGGGAAUUCACGGCCCCCGGA
rnacentral:lncRNA from 1 species